rnacentral:rRNA from 1 species
GAUGAACGCUAGCGAUAGGCUUAACACAUGCAAGUCGAGGGGCAGCAUGGUCUUAGCUUGCUAAGACUGAUGGCGACCGGCGCACGGGUGCGUAACGCGUAUGCAACUUGCCUCACAGAGGGGGAUAACCCGUCGAAAGACGGACUAAUACCGCGUACACUCCAUCUUGGGCAUCCAAGGUAGAGGAAAUGAAAUUCGCUGUGAGAUAGGCAUGCGUCCCAUUAGCUAGUUGGUGAGGUAACGGCUCACCAAGGCGACGAUGGGUAGGGGAACUGAGAGGUUGAACCCCCACACUGGUACUGAGACACGGACCAGACUCCUACGGGAGGCAGCAGUGAGGAAUAGUGGUCAAUGGGCGAGAGCCUGAACCAGCCAAGUCGCGUGAAGGAUGACUGUCUUAUGGAUUGUAAACUUCUUUUAUAAGGGAAUAACAAGAGUCACGUGUGACUCCCUGCAUGUACCGUAUGAAUAAGCAUCGGCUAACUCCGUG